CUUAUCUCCCCCAAGAGUUCACAUCGACGGGGAGGUUUGGCACCUCGAUGUCGGCUCAUCGCAUCCUGGGGCUGUAGUCGGUCCCAAGGGUUGGGCUGUUCGCCCAUUAAAGCGGUACGCGAGCUGGGUUCAGAACGUCGUGAGACAGUUCGGUCCCUAUCCGUCGUGGGCGUAGGAAAUUUGAGAGGAGCUGUCCUUAGUACGAGAGGACCGGGAUGGACAUACCUCUGGUGUACCAGUUGUCGUGCCAACGGCAUAGCUGGGUAGCUAUGUGUGGACGGGAUAAGUGCUGAAAGCAUCUAAGCAUGAAGCCCCCCUCAAGAUGAGAUUUCCCAACUUCGGUUAUAAGAUCCCUCAAAGAUGAUGAGGUUAAUAGGUUCGAGGUGGAAGCAUGGUGACAUGUGGAGCUGACGAAUACUAAUCGAUCGAAGACUUAAUCAAAA
rnacentral:rRNA from 1 species